GAUAUGACACUGAAUUAAACUAUAAACUGAACACACUGAUAUGACACUGAAUUAAACUAUAAACUGAACACACUGAUAUGACACUGAAUUAAACUAUAAAAAGGCAGCAGUUAUUAAAAACACUGAAUUAAACAGGCAAUGGAACAGGUUUUCGCAUAAUGGUGGACAGAGAUACACUCAUGUCUGUGGCAGCAAAUCUUCAGUCUUGAAUACAAACAGCUUCAUAAAGAUCAUACGGAAUAAUACAGAGCUCUACAGGCAACAGUUUAUGAAAUUCAGAACAAUUUACUCCAGUAGCAGGUAGAGCCCCACUGACUUCACACAUAUCACUGUA